UAGGGAAUAUUGGGCAAUGGACGCAAGUCUGACCCAGCCAUGCCGCGUGCAGGAUGAAGGCCUUCUGGGUUGUAAACUGCUUUUAUCUAGGAAGAAAACGCCCAUGCGUGGGAAACUGACGGUACUAGAUGAAUAAGCACCGGCUAACUCCGUGCCAGCAGCCGCGGUAAUACGGAGGGUGCAAGCGUUGUCCGGAUUUAUUGGGUUUAAAGGUGCGUAGGCGGCCCGGUAAGUCAGUGGUGAAAGCCUCCAGCUCAACUGGAGAACUGCCAUUGAUACUGCCGGGCUUGAGUACAGACGAGGUUGGCGGAAUUGAUUGUGUAGCGGUGAAAUGCAUAGAUACAAUCAAGAACUCCGAUUGCGUAGGCAGCUAACUAGGCUGUAACCGACGCUGAGGCACGAAAGCGUGGGGAGCGAACAGGAUUAGAUACCCUGGUAGUCCACGCUGUAAACGAUGAUUACUCGAUG
rnacentral:rRNA from 1 species